rnacentral:rRNA from 1 species
AUGAACGCUGGCGGCGUGCUUAACACAUGCAAGUCGAACGGUGAACUUGGGAGCUUGCUCCUGGGGAAUCAGUGGCGAACGGGUGAGUAACACGUGAGUAACCUGCCCCAGACUCUGGGAUAAGCACUGGAAACGGUGUCUAAUACCGGAUACGAGCUUCAGCCGCAUGGCUAGGAGCUGGAAAGAAUUUCGGUCUGGGAUGGACUCGCGGCCUAUCAGCUAGUUGGUGAGGUAACGGCCCACCAAGGCGACGACGGGUAGCCGGCCUGAGAGGGUGACCGGCCACACUGGGACUGAGACACGGCCCAGACUCCUACGGGAGGCAGCAGUGGGGAAUAUUGCACAAUGGGCGAAAGCCUGAUGCAGCAACGCCGCGUGAGGGACGACGGCCUUCGGGUUGUAAACCUCUUUUAGUAGGGAAGAAGCGAAAGUGACGGUACCUGCAGAAAAAGCACCGGCUAACUACGU